rnacentral:rRNA from 1 species
GACGAACGCUGGCGGCGUGCUUAACACAUGCAAGUCGAACGGAAAGGCCCUGCUUUUGUUGGGUGCUCGAGUGGCGAACGGGUGAGUAACACGUGAGUAACCUGCCCUUGACUUUGGGAUAACUUCAGGAAACUGGGGCUAAUACCGGAUAGGAGCUCCUGCUGCAUGGUGGGGGUUGGAAAGUUUCGGCGGUUGGGGCUGGACUCGCGGCUUAUCAGCUUGUUGGUGGGGUAGUGGCUUACCAAGGCUUUGACGGGUAGCCGGCCUGAGAGGGUGACCGGCCACAUUGGGACUGAGAUACGGCCCAGACUCCUACGGGAGGCAGCAGUGGGGAAUAUUGCACAAUGGGCGGAAGCCUGAUGCAGCAACGCCGCGUGCGGGAUGACGGCCUUCGGGUUGUAAACCGCUUUCGCAUGUGACGAAGCGUGAGUGACGGUAAUGGGUAAAGAAGCACCGGCUAACUACGUG